rnacentral:rRNA from 1 species
GUACACGCUGUGACUAGCAUAUCAAUAAGCGGAGGAAAAGAAACUAACAAGGAUUCCCUUAGUAACGGCGAGUGAAGCGGGAGGAGCUCAAAUUUGAAAUCUUGAAAGGUCACCUUUCACGAAUUGUAGUUUAAAGAAGUGUUUUCUGUUACGAUCGUAAUAUAAGUUCUUUGGAAUAGGACAUCACAGAGGGUGAGAAUCCCGUCUAUGAUUGCGAUUUGUAGCUUUGUGAUACACUUUCAAAGAGUCGGGUUGUUUGGGAAUGCAGCCCAAAACGGGAGGUAAAUUUCUUCUAAGGCUAAAUAUUGGCGAGAGACCGAUAGCGAACAAGUACCGUGAGGGAAAGAUGAAAAGAACUUUGAAAAGAGAGUUAAAUAGUACGUGAAAUUGUCAAAAGGGAAGCGUUUAACACCAGUGUUGUUUUCUGAAAAUCAACCUCUGUUAGCUUUAUGCAUGUUUGUUUAGACCUAAUCAGCUAUCUUGCAUGUUCUAUUGUUUGCAGUGGUGCACUUUUCAGUUUACAGGUCAACAUCAGUUUUUUUUACCGUAAAAAAGUCAAGAAAGGUAGCUCAUGGCUCCGGUCGUGAGUGUUAUAGUCUUUUUCCUAUGCGGUAGGAGAGACUGAGGUCUGCAGUGUAGGCUAUUUGGCUAGAUACUCAGGUGCUAUGUGAUACCAUUUCAUAAACAACUUGUUGAUUAUGUUUUGUCUAUUGCAUACUCGCUUGUACUAUCAUACCUACGCUUAGGAUGUUGAGUAGCGACAUACGCAC